UUUUAUUUAUCUACCACCGUGGGGCACGUUAUGAUGCAUGCAGCCCUCUUGCAUUGUUUACGAGCGGGCGCGUAAGUUCCGUGCGGGUCACGUGAUGCGCAUCAGAAUGCCAGCACUGCCUGUUAUUCCGGCGCCCCAGUAACUGCGAAAAAUUAACCGUCCUUUGUGUACUUAGAGUACUUAUUUCGUAAUUUCUAAAGCUUUUGCCCGUUAUUCGUUAGUAUAACUGCCGUAAAAAAAAUAAAAUUCUGACAUAAAGAACAAUUAAAUGACAUUCUCUUAAUCUGAGAAUUUACUAUUCUUGCUGGUGUGGCACCAAAACAAGAUGGUCUCAACAUGGAAAACAAGUUAAUCAACUGAAUAUUAGAGGCAAUGACCAGGAAGAAACCAGAUGAGCUGACCUAGGGAGGCCUGCACAGAGAAUGUGGUCCUGUCACUGGCAGGAUGGCUGAUAAAUCCUGGUGGGAUGAGCAAGGCACGUCUGGGAUGGCAACCCCCAUCUAUUCAACAAGUACACAUAACACAAUUCUUUCUCUUUCUGUUAAAACUAAUGUUAACCAGCAAAACCAUGUAUAAUAGCUUAAGGAAAAAAUACAGUUUGUAUGUGCUGUACUUCCCAUCUAAGUCUUGCUGUUGUAGGAUCUGUCCCCAUAAUUUUUGGCUUCACAACUUCUGCAAUUGUGAAGAUCACGUCUCUCUUGGUGGACAGAUGUGCUCCGGAUGUGAUGGUAUAGGUUUCUGACCUGAUGAGACCUUUAGUGGAAGGUUGGGUGUACAAAAUUAAGGCUGCAAAAAAAGGUAUGCAUUCAUUUUAUCUUCGGCGAAAAGUAGCAGCCAGCAUGGGCUGGUGGUGGGGACUGGGAACAUAUCGUCAAUGUUCUCCAGUACCACUAAUUCUAUGCCUUAAUCAUGCAAAAUAUAGUACAUAGCACAUCAUGUUCAAAGAGAGCAGACAAGUUUUCUGGAAAAAUAUCUUCAAUAUAAAUUUUGUAUAUUUUUAAUAAGCUCAUAUAACAUGACCACUUUGCCUUUAUCAUGAUUGAUAUGAGAAGGUAAUAUGCUGUUGCCCCCACGUAGAUAUUGAAUUCAGUCGUAUCCCACAGAUAAACCUCCAUUCCUAUGUGUAGCAUUAAAUAUGCGACACUUAUUCAGUAGUACGAUUGUAAUGUUAAUUAGUUAAGAUAUGAUUUGAAAGUCUUGGGUUGAAAGCGAUUGUCAGUAGAAAGGGAGAGGUGCUGCUUUGUACUUUUUAAGUGGUUGUUAUAUGUCAUGAAUCCAUUUUUGAACCAGCUCCACGUGAAGCACCCUAAUCUGUCUUUACAACGGGAAUGUGCAAUAUGUUUUCUUUAAUAUAAAUAUGUAUAAAUUUGAUUGUGAAACAAGUGACAAGUUGUUUGACAACAACAAAAUCACCAACGUCUUCCAUUAAAAGAUGUAUAGUCCCAUGUGCAUUAGCUUACUAGCAGGAGCGUAGCACCAGUGUUAAAACUGGCCAUGCAUGAGGUAGUAAUGCUUGCUCAAUAAAAUACUCAUACAAUUAUUCACAAUGUAAAAAAUGAGACAAAAGAGAUUCUACUCUGCAUAAGGGGAAGUACUAACCAGGAUGCAGUGUGUAUUCUCUUGACCAUCUAAGAUUAGAUUUCAAGGAGGAAUUCCACACUGUAGUUUCUUAAACCUUGACAAAUGUGAUAGUCUUGCUAAUAGAAAUACAAUCUUUGGAUUCUCUAUUGUACAAUAUCAUUUUAAAUGUUAAUUUUUUUUGUUUGUAUUAGGAAGUGCAAUCUCUUCAACAUCUCUGCAUCUAUAUAUUUCAUACAGUUGUGUCCCGAGACUUAAAGUUCAUUUAUAGUUAUUUUAAACACAAGGGUUUUAAUUGAUAAGUCUGUAGAUUAAAAUGGAUUUCCCAAACCUUUCAAAACAGGCAUGAAUAUGCACCCAAAGACACCCUUAAAUGUUUGACUUUGAUAUAGACAGGGGAAAGUUUUAGAAUAUGAAGCAGGAUAUAUUCAGAGAUACAUCUCGGGUGUUAGUAGAAUGGUAAUGUUUCACUAAAGGUAGGUUAUAUCGUUAAAAUAGUUUACUAUUAAUACCACACAGUUAUGCAUAGAAUUUAGAGUACAGUUAUGUUAAAUCCAUAGUCCUGUUUAUAUAUUGCAAUGUAGAUAAAUACCUCAAACUCUGGAAUGCAGAAUGUUUUGAUAGAAUAUCUAUUGCAGAUUAAGCCAUAAAAUAGAUAAUUAGAAGCAAUAAUGUUUAUGCAUGAUAUUAGUGUUGGAUCUCUUGAGUAGUGACUAAUUGUAGCUAUGGUGAAAUGGUUGUAGGGCGGAAAUAGAUUGUCUUGUGUAUAUUAAUCAAAAUUAGGUUGAAGGACAAAAAACCCUUAUAAGGACUUUUUUUUUCUGUUUCCAAGAAAACGUACCCCUCCAUUGUCCUUUAAAAAAGGGAUUGCCUUAGUUAAUACUAUCCAAAUUAUGCUAAAACAAAAUAUUAACUAUUGAACCGUUUCUUUUUUAAAACAUUGAAUUAACAUUAACUUACUUGUUAAACAAAAAUAUUAAUAAAGUAAGAUGGUGUCUUAAAAGUCUGGAUGCCCCAGGGAAGUGGUGUCUCCUGGUAGAUAUUUAAAAAGUUGUAGACUUCAAUCUCAACAACAGGGGGGAGUGGCCUCCUUGUAUGUAGGCAUCCAUUUCUCCUGCAUGGACAUGCGUUGCUCCUCUAGUCUGCGCAUGCUGUUCGUCUGUCCUGAAUGGUUCCUGCACUCCAUUUCACAUCUCAUAGCCCCACCGAUGCAGGACCACAGCAUAUACUCCACCUUCCAUGGAUAAAACCUUGAUGUACUCAUCUAAAAAGGGUGCUGUGCUCCGAGAAAUCACCCUUCCCCUGCUGGUGCUAACCUUUGCCAGUCAGAGUUGUCUUUGACCCAUGUUCUAGUCCGAUUGUCCAGGUAAGGCUUAUGAUAAGGCUGUUAAGUCUAAGAUUUUGUCUGCGAUGGAUUCAAACAUUUAUGCCACUGACCAGUUGUUUGUUUCGUUAAGGGGGAAACAAAGUAUACAGUGUAAACAAAGUAUGGUAUCUGAUGAUGGAUUUGUAAUGUUAAAAUCUGAAAGACUUGGCGGUUACCAUUCGAGUUUCAGAAAAGCACUUGGCCGAGAGGUUAUAGACAAAUGGUAUUCUGUAGAAUCAAGGAAUUAUUUUAACCCUUAUAUAUAUAUAUAUAUAUAUAUAUCUUGCAUGCUGUAGUCUAAAUUGUGCUUAGCAAGCUAAUGUUAUUGAAAGCAAUAGGGUCUAUAGCGGUCUUAUUUUGCGUAAAGGUAAUCAAAAAUGUAUAUUCACCCUAAUAAAUUAGGAUUAAUAGCUAUUAGAAUACAACUAGCAUAAACAGUUUUUAUGCAGUUUGUUCAUUUUAGCCAAACUAAAAUGUUAUUAGUGAUAUUGCAGUUAUUGUGUGUACUCAGUCUUUUAGCGGAAGUUUAUCAUUUUUAAAUCGUCUAAGGGUUGAGAAUAGCUUACUAGGAAAAGAAUUAAUGCACAAAAUAUGCUACACAGUCCAAGGGUAUGGCUCCUUACUUAAUGCAUGAAAAACAGGCAAAUAUAUUUCAAUGCAUGCAAUAAUUCACUUUAUAACAACUUAAUUUUUUAAUUGUAGGUUCCACGUGAUGACAAAUUUAAAAUCGGCAAUUCAUAUACUGAUUCUUGUACUGCAAUUCCUGUAUUAACAGAAAUAGCCCCACAAAUGUCAGAAAGUAUAAAAGUGGUGCAACAGGUAUUAAAACAUGUAGAAUUAUCUGAAUUUCAUUAAAUCCUUAUCUUCUAAUUGCAAGUUACUGCUUAUCAAAUUAGAAUGGUUGGCCACUGAAUAUAUUAACCAAUCACGCCCUGAUUAAAAUGAAAGUUACUGCUGAAAUUAAGCCAAUUUCCAUUAGAGGAACUACUUUUGUCAAUACUAUGUAAAAAUGGCAAAAAAUGUUUACAAAAAAGGAAAUGGCUCAUGAGCACUUGCAAUUCCUGAAAUUUCAUAGGACGUUGCCAGUUACAGGAUUUAAUUUUUGUACUUGGUGCAUGCAAGAGAAUUCUAAAAGAUUGUUGGUAAAAUGCCUAAUGUGUUUUUUUUUUUUACCUUUUGGAAGUGAAUUGGCCAAAUUAAUUGUGUGAUUUUGGGUCUAAAAGUUACACUUGAAUAAUGGAUUACAAAUGGGAUUUUUACACUAACUGCUGUAACAGGAAACCAUGACUACUGAAAAUGUUGGCUGUAAAUAAGUAAACUAUGCAUUUCAGAAAUGACAGUGGGAGACACAGGGCAUGUUUUGUGGAGACUCUCUCUGGCUUUGUAAAAACUGCGAACACUGCACCCAGUAAUUUUAGCAAUAAAAGCAGCAUGGUGCCAAUUGCACAAAA